rnacentral:lncRNA from 1 species
GAAGACCAAAAUUGACAUGGGAAGAGGUAAUAAAAGGAGAUUUGAAGGGAUGGAAUAUAGCUAAAGAUUUAGCCCUGGAUAGGAGUGCUUGGAAAACAGCUAUUCAUGUGCCCGAACCCUGAUUUGUGGCUCUUGUUGGGUUUCAACUCUAGCCUACCCCAACUUGCUUGGGACUGAAAGGCUAUGUUGUUGUUGUUGUUGUUGAUCUAUAUGUGUUCAUGUAUAUUUGUCAUUCCUGGAACCUGCUAUGUGUUGCUUCCUAAAAUCUUAGUCCCUGUUAAGCCUUUUU